AUAGAGACUCAGAGCUGCAUAUCAAUAAGCGGAGGAAAAGAAACUAACUAGGAUUCCCUUAGUAACGGCGAGUGAAGCGGGAAGAGCUCAAAUUUGAAAUCUUCAAGGUUCUACCUUGACGAAUUGUAGUUUAAAGAAGUGUUUUCUGUUGGAGUUUUGGUAAAAGUUCUUUGGAAUAGGACAUCAUAGAGGGUGAGGAUCCCGUAUUUGACCAUUAUUUCCCAGCUGUGUGAUACACUUUCAAAGAGUCGGAUUGUUUGGGAAUGCAGUCCAAAAUGGGUGGUAAAUUUCAUCUAAAGCUAAAUAUUGGCGAGAGACCGAUAGCGAACAAGUACCGUGAGGGAAAGAUGAAAAGAACUUUGAAAAGAGAGUUAAACAGUACGUGAAAUUGUCAAAAGGGAAGCGUUUGACACCAGUGUUGUUUUUCCGAAAAUCAAUUAAGAAUGUUUUAUUUUUGAGGAGUUAUGACUUCAUCGGCUUGCUCCUUUCUUUAUGAAACUUUCUUAAUGCACUUUUCGGUUAACAAGUCAACAUCAAUUUCUUUUGUUGUAAAAGGGUAUGAGGAAGGUGGCUUUCUUUUCGGAGAAAGUGUUUAUAGCCUUGUGCCUCUGCAAUCGGAGAGAUUGAGGUCUGCAGCGUAGAUCCUUCGGGGUUAGAUACAUUUGUGCUAAGUUAUAGCUUUUCAUAGACAACUUGUUGACUAUGUUUAGUCUUGUAGCUUACUCGCUUAUGCUAUUUUACCUACGCUUAGGAUGUUGACGAGACUGUCGAUCUC
rnacentral:rRNA from 1 species